rnacentral:rRNA from 1 species
GACAUCAGGAGGUUAGUGCAAUGGCAUAAGCCAGCUUGACUGCGAGCGUGACGGCGCGAGCAGGUGCGAAAGCAGGUCAUAGUGAUCCGGUGGUUCUGAAUGGAAGGGCCAUCGCUCAACGGAUAAAAGGUACUCCGGGGAUAACAGGCUGAUACCGCCCAAGAGUUCAUAUCGACGGCGGUGUUUGGCACCUCGAUGUCGGCUCAUCACAUCCUGGGGCUGAAGUAGGUCCCAAGGGUAUGGCUGUUCGCCAUUUAAAGUGGUACGCGAGCUGGGUUUAGAACGUCGUGAGACAGUUCGGUCCCUAUCUGCCGUGGGCGCUGGAGAACUGAGGGGGGCUGCUCCUAGUACGAGAGGACCGGAGUGGACGCAUCACUGGUGUUCGGGUUGUCAUGCC